AUGGUAUCAGAGCUAGGUUUCCAAGAGGUGGUGGCCGCAGCGGCUGUGGAGGAGUGCUGCUCCAUGAUGGCUGGAGCUGGUGAGGCUGGCCAGACGGCCGAUUCGAAGGCUGGGAAGAAGAGGAUUUGCAGCCGGAAGACUGCUCACGGGGGUGUGAGAAGUGCAGCAGCCUGGAGGGCUCUGUUCUUGUGUUCAGCAGAGAUGAGUCCUGAGGAGGCUGAAGCUGCAAGGAAAGCAUCACAAGAUAAGCUGGAGAAGGAGGCUCAGGGAAAAUCCACACUCUUUACGAAAGGUGAUAUGAGAAGUUUGCUGCAGGAUCCUAUGGCAAUGGGGAUAAUGGGAUCAAAAGCUUCAGUGGGAACUCCCGAGUUGAAGUUGGAGCUGAUGCCGAAUGAAUUGAAGUUAGAAGGGAGCAAGAACUAUCUGAGCUGGUCAAGGAAGGCGAAGUUGAUCUUGAGGACAAAGGGUGUAGAGCACUGUGUGCAGGAAACAUUCAUAGAACCUGCAGAUAGAACAAGUGUUGAUUGGCGAGUAUGCACCACCAACUCUGUGGUUGCAGCAUGGUUGAUGAAUUUCGUCUCUCCAUUGAUUGCUAGGAUGAUUGAAGCAAUUGCAAGCGCAGCAGCAAUUUGGAAAACGUUGAGCAAUAUGUACUCUGGGGCUGGCAAUGUGAUGAUGAUGGUGGAGGUCCAGAGUAAGGUGGAUGAACUCAAGCAAGGGGAGAAAACUGUCCAAGAGUACGCCAGUGAGCUGCAGCAACUAUGGUCUGAUUUGGACCACUAUGAUCCAUUGCAAUUGACAUGUUCUAGUGAUACUGAGGCUGAUGAGGCUUGGCAGCAACGUAGAAGGGUUACACACUUCUUAAAGGGGCUGAAACAGAGUUUGAGCCAAGGAGGGCUGCCAUGUUUCACCAGACAACAUUGCCUACUAUGGAAGAGGCAAUUUCAGCAAUGGUCCAGGAGGAGAUUCGCUUGCGGGACAGGACAUCUGAGCUAUGAGUGUUAUGCUCCACCAUCUGGAGGACGCGGACGCGCGACCCGUGGUGGUGGCCGAGGAGGCCGAGGUGAGGGCCGUGGAGGACGAGGUGGUGAUCGUGGGGGCCGUGGUGGACGUGGCAGAGGUUGUGUCAGCACAGAGCCUAUGCUGCUGCAGAGGAAACAUCACACAUCGUGCUUACAGGUGAGAAAGCACCACAAUGGGAGAAAUGCCAGAAGAGCCAUACAUCAGAAAGUUCACAGGGAUCUGGCACGAUACCUCAGGUGGAUCACUUUGGUAAUUAUGCCAACUAUGCCCAAGUGGGCAAAGGUUGGGCAAAGGCAGGCGGCGGCUGCAGGACGUGGCGGGCGGCGGCGGCGGCUGCUGCAGGACGAGGCAGGCGGCGGCUGCGGCAACCGGGCGCGGCAGGGCGAGGAGGGAGUGGCAGCGGCCGGAUGGGCACGCGGCGGCGGCUGCGGGACGAGGAGGAGAUGGCCAGGCAGGACCGGACGAAUCCAGGUAGUGGAACCAAGCAGAUCCGGGCAGGGACUGCCAGCGACGGGCGGAUCUGGUUACGGGCGAAGUAGGCACGGAGUUGCAUCGUGCGAGGGAGAGGCUAACCUCGCACCUGAUACCAUGUUGGAUAAUAAGCAACUAACUUUCACAGGGGGGCAAAGGCCAAUACAUGUACAUUUUUUGGGUGAAUUCUCCCCUGUCAUUGAGGGUGAUGACAUUAAGAGUGGUGACAGGAGGGAGGGGGGGAGUGGAGGCACUAUGGAAGAAGAAGCAAUUGUUGGAGGCACUAUGGGAGAGGAAGGAGUUGUGGGAACCAUUCCCUGCCCUAUGGUGAUUUCUUCUCCUGAGAGACCGGUUGCAACCAAGGAGUUGCAGGUGUAUGAGAGAAGGCAUUUUCACAAUAAGGGGAAGCAAACAAUAGGUGCAACCAAGGAGUUGCAGUCUGAACCCCUAGAGCAGCCACAGUGCCAGGAUGAUAUUCAUGUUCCAGGCCUCUCACCAUCAAGAUCCUCAUCGUCAUCAGAGAUAGGUGAUGAUGCUUCUCCCUCUUCAUUGCAUUUGGAAUUACCUAUUGCCCAACGCAGAGCAAUUAGAUUAAUGCUGGAAAGCCCCCAGAUUGGUAUGGUUUUGAACAUGACAUUGCCAAUUUUGUGUCAUACUCAAGCCUUUCACCUGCAUACAAAGCAUUCAUUUCAUCUCUUCAAUCUGUAUCCAUUCCAAAUGAUUGGAGAACAGCAAAGCAGGAUCCCAGGUGGACGGAGGAGCUUAGUGCACUCCAAAAGAACAAGACAUGGGAUCUUGUGCUACUCCCACCCGGAAAAAGGGUAG
rnacentral:rRNA from 1 species